UACAGAGGUCUCAAGCGUUGUUCGGAUUCAUUGGGCGUAAAGGGUGCGUAGGUGGUUUGUUAAGUCUGAUGUGAAAGCCCUGGGCUCAACCUGGGAAUUGCAUUGGAUACUGGCAGGCUAGAGUGCGGUAGAGGAUGGCGGAAUUCCCGGUGUAGCAGUGAAAUGCGUAGAGAUCGGGAGGAACAUCUGUGGCGAAGGCGGCCAUCUGGACCAGCACUGACACUGAGGCACGAAAGCGUGGGGAGCAAACAGG
rnacentral:rRNA from 1 species